GUGGCCAUGGUGUAGCGGCAGCACGGGGGUUUGUGGAACCCUUAGCGGCGGUUCGAAUCCGCUUGGUCACCCCA
rnacentral:tRNA from 2 species